AACGAACGCUGGCGGCAGGCCUAACACAUGCAAGGUCGAGGGGGAAGCCACUUUCGGGUGGUGGAGACCGGCGCACGGGUGAGUAACGCGUGGGCAUCCGCCCUGGGGUGGGGGAUAACCGCUGGAAACGGCGGCUAAUACCGCAUACGCCUUGAGAGGGAAAGAUUUAUCGCCCUGGGAUGAGCCCGCGUUGGAUUAGCUUGUUGGUGAGGUAAAGGCUCACCAAGGCGACGAUCCAUAGCUGGUCUGAGAGGAUGAUCAGCCACACUGGGACUGAGACACGGCCCAGACUCCUACGGGAGGCAGCAGUGGGGAAUAUUGGACAAUGGGGGCAACCCUGAUCCAGCCAUGCCGCGUGUGUGAAGAAGGCCUUAGGGUUGUAAAGCACUUUCACCGGUGAAGAUGAUGACGGUAGCCGGAGAAGAAGCCCCGGCUAACUCCGUG
rnacentral:rRNA from 1 species